rnacentral:rRNA from 1 species
AUUGAACGCUGGCGGCAUGCCUUACACAUGCAAGUCGAACGGUAACAGGUCUUCGGAUGCUGACGAGUGGCGAACGGGUGAGUAAUACAUCGGAACGUGCCCAGACGUGGGGGAUAACGAGGCGAAAGCUUUGCUAAUACCGCAUACGAGCCAAGGAUGAAAGCAGGGGACCGCAAGGCCUUGCGCGUUUGGAGCGGCCGAUGGCAGAUUAGGUAGUUGGUGGGAUAAAAGCUUACCAAGCCGACGAUCUGUAGCUGGUCUGAGAGGACGACCAGCCACACUGGGACUGAGACACGGCCCAGACUCCUACGGGAGGCAGCAGUGGGGAAUUUUGGACAAUGGGCGAAAGCCUGAUCCAGCAAUGCCGCGUGCAGGAUGAAGGCCUUCGGGUUGUAAACUGCUUUUGUACGGAACGAAAAGGCUCUGGCUAAUACCUGGGGCACAUGACGGUACCGUAAGAAUAAGCACCGGCUAACUACGUGCCAGCCGCCGCUGUAA